CAAAGGACAACUUGAAACAGUCAUUUCUCUUCUCUUACAUGGGUUCCAGUGACUGAAUCCAGUGCUGUCAAGAUUAGCAGCAAGGACCUUUACCUGCUAAGCCAUCUCCCCGGCCAGAAUGUGAAUUGCUGCAGAUUGGCCCCAGGCCUACUUCUCUUUUACUUUGCCUGAGGCCACAGCCAGCCCUCUUCAGAGAAAGAGCAUGCAGUGACUGGCAGGUAGAGGAUAACGGCACAGUUUGCUCAGAGGAAGGAGACACAGUCAAGGGACUCAGCCACCUGAGCUGAGCCCAGAUGAAGAAGAGUCCAAAUAAGCUGACUAGUAUUCCACAGUGGACCACAUUUUCAUUAUCCAGCAACUCAGGUUGUUUCCAUCUCCUAGCCUCUGUGAAAGGAGCAUCAGUGAACAUGGUUGAGUGAGUAUCUGUGGUUUAGGAUGUCGAGUCCUGUGGGUGUAUGCUAAGGAGUGGAAUAGCUGGGCCAUAGGGUACAUUUAUCUUUAGCUUUUAAAGAAUUAUUCAUAGUGGCUAUAUAGGGGGCACUGGACCAGUUUGGAAUCCAGUUAGCAGUAAAUGAUGGGUCCUUUUCUCCUUUCCAACAUUCAUUGUUGAUCAUUUUGUUGACCUUUGUAAGAUGAAACAUCAAAGUUGUUUUGAUGUGCGUUUCCCUAAUUGCUAUAGACAGUGAACAUUUUCUGAGGGUUUUCUUUUUUCUUUCUUUUCUCCUUUUAGAACUCUCUCUUUAGAUCCAAGGCCCAUUUUCGACUCUUUGUCUUUUAAGUUCUUUAUAUAUUCUGGAUAUUAAUUCUCUGUCAGAUGUAUAAUUGGGAAAAAUUUUCUCCCAUUCUAUGGGCUUGCUCUUUCUUCCUUUCCUUUCCUUUCCUUUCCUUUCCUUUCCUUUC